GUAAUAGCGAGUAAAGCGGCAAUAGCUUAGAUUUAAAAUCCGGCCCCCCUAUGGGGGCCUAAGUUAUAAUCUUUGGAGGAUGCCUCUAGCGCGGCCCCUUCCGAGUUCCCUAGAACAGGACGCUAUAGAGGGUAAGAGCCCUAUCUAGUCGGCGGCCCGCGCCUCUAUAAGGCUCCUUCGACGAGUCGAGUAGUUUAGGAAUGCUGCUUAAAAUAGGAGGUAUAUAUCUUCUAAAGCUAAAUACCGGCUAGAGACCGAUAGCGCAUAAGUAGAGUGAUCGAAAGAUAAAAAGCACUUUAAAAAGAGGGUUAAAUAGUAUAUAAAAUUAUUAAAAGGGAAGCGCUUGCGACUAGACUCGGCCGCGGCGGAUUACCUAGCGUUCUCGCUAGCGCACUCCGCCGCAGCCAGGCCAGCGUCGGCUCGCUACGGGGGAUAAAGGCGCUAGGAACGUAGCUCCCCUAGGAGUGUUAUAGCCCGGCGCGUAAUGCCCCGCGGCGGGCCGAGGUCCGCGCGUCUGCAAGGACGCUAGCGUAAUAGUCGCUAGCGACCCGUCUUAAAACACGGACUAAGGAGUCGUCCUCAUAUGCGAGUGUUCGGGCGUUAAACCCCUAUGCGAAAUAAAAGUAAAUAUAGGUAGGAGCCUCGUAGUGCACUAUCGACCGAUCCUAAUGUUCUAGAUAGAUUUAAGUAAGAGCAUAUAGGGCCGGACCUAAAAGAAGGUAAACUAUGCCUAUAUAGGGUAAAGCCAGAGGAAACUCUAGUAGAGGUCAUAGCGGUUCUACUAUGCAAAUCGAUCGU
rnacentral:rRNA from 2 species